rnacentral:rRNA from 1 species
GACGAACGCUGGCGGCGUGCCUAACACAUGCAAGUCGAACGGAAGUAAGAGCUUCGGUUUUUGCUUUAGUGGCGAACGGGUGAGUAACACGUGAGGAACCUGCCUUUCAGAGGGGGAUAACGUUUGGAAACGAACGCUAAUACCGCAUGACAUAUUCCAUAGGCAUCUGAGGGAUAUCAAAGGAGAAAUCCGCUGAGAGAUGGCCUCGCGUCUGAUUAGGUAGUUGGUGAGGUAACGGCCCACCAAGCCUGCGAUCAGUAGCCGGACUGAGAGGUUGAUCGGCCACAUUGGGACUGAGACACGGCCCAG